rnacentral:lncRNA from 1 species
GACAACAACAACAACAACAACAAACCCAGUGUAUUCCCACUUAGUGGGGUCUGGGGGGGUAAGAUGUACGCAGUCCAUACCUCUACCUCUGAUGAAGUAGAAAGGCUGUUUCCGAAAGACCCCCGGCUCAAGUCACGAGAUAUCACACAAACACAUAGUACAGCACAGAAGCAGAUGACAUAACAUAGAUACGGCACCCAUAAG